rnacentral:rRNA from 1 species
AUGAACGCUAGCUACAGGCUUAACACAUGCAAGUCGAGGGGCAGCAUGAACUUAGCUUGCUAAGUUUGAUGGCGACCGGCGCACGGGUGAGUAACACGUAUCCAACCUGCCGAUGACUCGGGGAUAGCCUUUCGAAAGAAAGAUUAAUACCCGAUGGCAUAGUUCUUCCGCAUGGUGGAACUAUUAAAGGAUUUCGGUCAUCGAUGGGGAUGCGUUCCAUUAGGUUGUUGGCGGGGUAACGGCCCACCAAGCCUUCGAUGGAUAGGGGUUCUGAGAGGAAGGUCCCCCACAUUGGAACUGAGACACGGUCCAAACUCCUACGGGAGGCAGCAGUGAGGAAUAUUGGUCAAUGGACGAGAGUCUGAACCAGCCAAGUAGCGUGAAGGAUGACUGCCCUAUGGGUUGUAAACUUCUUUUAUACGGGAAUAAAGUGAGGCACGUGUGCCUUUUUGUAUGUACCGUAUGAAUAAGGAUCGGCUAACUCCGUGCCAGCAGCCGCGGUAAUACGGAGGAUCCGAGCGUUAUCCGGAUUUAUUGGGUUUAAAGGGAGCGUAGGCGGACGCUUAAGUCAGUUGUGAAAGUUUGCGGCUCAACCGUAAAAUUGCAGUUGAUACUGGGUGUCUUGAGUACAGUAGAGGCAGGCGGAAUUCGUGGUGUAGCGGUGAAAUGCUUAGAUAUCACGAAGAACUCCGAUUGCGAAGGCAGCCUGCUGGACUGUAACUGACGCUGAUGCUCGAAAGUGUGGGUAUCAAACAGGAUUAGAUACCCUGGUGGUCCACACAGUAAACGAUGAAUACUCGCUGUUUGCGAUAUACAGUAAGCGGCCAAGCGAAAGCGUUAAGUAUUCCACCUGGGGAGUACGCCGGCAACGGUGAAACUCAAAGGAAUUGACGGGGGCCCGCACAAGCAGUGGAGUAUGUGGUUUAAUUCGACGCAACGCGAAGAACCUUACCAAGGCUUGACAUAUACAGGAAUAUAUAAGAGAUUAUAUAGCUCUUCGGAGUCUGUAUACAGGUGGUGCAUGGUUGUCGUCAGCUCGUGUCGUGAGAUGUUGGGUUAAGUCCCGCAACGAGCGCAACCCCUGUGAUUAGUUGCCAGCGAGUAAUGUCGGGAACUCUAAUCAAACUGCCGGUGAUAAAUCGGAGGAAGGUGGGGACGACGUCAAAUCAUCAUGCCCUUUAUGUCUUGGGCUACACACGUACUACAAUGGCUAUAACAAAGAGAAGCGAGACCGCGAGGUGGAGCAAAACUCAAAAAAGUAGUCUCAGUUCGGAUUGUAGACUGAAAUUCGUCUACAUGAAGCUGGAAUUGCUAGUAAUGGCAGGUCAGCAUACUGCCGUGAAUACGUUCCCGGGCCUUGUACACACCGCCCGUCACACCAUGAGAGUUGGAAAUACCCGAAGCCUGUGAGCUAACCUAUGAGGCAGCAGUCGAAGGUAGAGCCAAUGAUUGGGGUG